UACGUAGGGUGCGAGCGUUAAUCGGAAUUACUGGGCGUACAGCGUGCGUAGGCGGUUUCGCAAGUCCGCUGUGAAAGCCCCGGGCUUAACCUGGGAAUGGCCGUGGAAACUAUGGGACUUGAAUCUGGCAGAGGGGGGUGGAAUGCCACGUGUAGCAGUGAAAUGCGUAGAGAUGUGGAGGAACACCGAUGGCGAAGGCAGCCCCCGGGGCCAAGAUUGACGCUGAGGCACGAAAGCGUGGGGAGCAAACAGG
rnacentral:rRNA from 1 species